UAAGGAAUAUUGGACAAUGGGGGAAACCCUGAUCCAGCAAUGCCGCGUGAGUGAAGAAGGCCUUAGGGUUGUAAAGCUCUUUCGCCCGCGAAGAUAAUGACGGUAGCGGGAGAAGAAGCCCCGGCUAACUUCGUGCCAGCAGCCGCGGUAUAACGAAGGGGGCUAGCGUUGGUCGGAAUGACUGGGCGUAAAGCGCACGUAGGCGGCUUUCCAAGUUGGAGGUGAAAUCCCCGGGCUUAACCCGGGAACUGCCUCCAAAACUGAAAGGCUAGAGUCCGGGAGAGGGGAGUGGAAUUUCCAGUGUAGAGGUGAAAUGCGUAGAUAUUGGAAAGAACACCAGUGGCGAAGGCGGCUCUCUGGCGCGGUACUGACGCUGAGGAGCGAAAGCGUGGGGAGCAAACA
rnacentral:rRNA from 1 species